GACCCUGUAGGACGUGCGACAGGGGAAGGUGCCACCGUGCAGGGGACGCUUUUGUCUUCAACACCCUCUACAACAGUGCCAGGUUCUGCCAGGGGACAGUGGACGUCCAGCAGCACCCUGCUGGCAUGGAGAGCCACGGGGACACCCCUCGUGCAGAGCCAGAGUGGCACUCUCCAUCUGGGAGACAGCAGCCCAGGAACCCGCCCGAGCACCGUGCUGGCCACUGACAGCUCAGCUCCAGCGACAGCAGGGACAUCACCCUUUGCUGGGACACUGCAGGGGACACACUGGGGCCUGCCAGCGCUGCCAGGAGGACAGGGCUUUGCUUCCCACCCACAGGAGGGUCCCCACUCUGCCCCUCGCCCCUCUGCACUGUCCCUUGGCCCUGGUGGGAGCCCUUUGGCCAGCACGGCCUGGCCAGCUGUGGGGACAGGCACAGCCUCGCUACCUGCCACACGCAGGGGCUCAGCUCGGCCUGUCCCCACCACCACAGCCAGCACCCCGGUGGUGACAUCUCCUGGCCAGGGAGGAGCUCUGGACCUGACCACGGGGGUCCUGGGCCCAGCUGGCCCGGGAGCUCCCCCUGGGCACGGUCACAUCCCCCCGAGCCCAUCAGCCAUCCCGGAGCAGCCCCCCGGCCCCCUGGCCCCUGGCAGCCCCGCUGUGGCACAGGGUGGGGUGACACACGCCAGUCCUGGAUCCUCCCACAUCCCCUCGUCCCCACAGUCUGCCCCAGGCAGUGGCUCUGCUGGGACCCUGCUCUCGGCCCCGCUGCCUUCCCCAGGGACCAGCUGGGGGUUCCUGGGAUUCGGCCCCACCGUGGGCACCCCUCUAGGAGACCCCUCCCCAGGGCUGCCCCGUUCCAGCUCGAGGGUGGGUCCUGCUGAGAACCCUCCAUCCUUGGGGGGGACCCAGGUGGGAGUGGGCAGCCUGGCACCCCCCUCAGCACCUGGGCCUCCCCAGCAGCCAGCUUUGUCCCAGUCUUCACCUUCCCUAGGACCAACCACUGCUGUUGGUGUCACCACCACCCAUGUCACUGCCACCAUCACAGCUGCCACCAGCCCAGAAAGGCUCGGGGACAUGGGCGCAGUCACAGCAGGGCCCCGUGCUGCUGUACUGCAGAGGGAUGGGCAGGGGGUGACAUGGGGAUCCCCGACUCAUGUGCCCGCUGUGAUGCCCGGGCCCCCCCAGCAGCCCACAGAUUCCCCAGGUGGGGGCCCCGGGUCCCCCCCAGCUGCUGUGGACACAGACCUGGUCCAGCCAUCGAGCAGCCCCAGAGGGAGGACAGACACCGACACCGCCCGGGUGACGCUGGCUGGGGUGGGCAGGGCCCCCCAGGUGUUCAUCGUGGAAGAUCAGCCCCCGCUCCUGAGAGCGUCCCUCCUGCGCGUCCCCUGUGAGCUGGUGCUGGACAUGGCCUUCGUCCCGGCCCUGCAGGACCCCGGGUCCCGGGA
rnacentral:lncRNA from 1 species